rnacentral:misc_RNA from 1 species
UCCGGUUUGACACCGGCAGUCUCCUUAGAGUGCCCAACUAAAUGAUGGCAACUAAGGAUAGGGGUUGCGCUCGUUGCGGGACUUAACCCAACAUCUCACGACACGAGCUGACGACAACCAUGCAGCACCUCUGCUGGCUUCCUUGCGGAUCAGUCCAUGUUUCCAAAGACUUACUACCAGUAGUUCAAGCCCAGGUAAGGUUCUUCGCGUUGCGUCGAAUUAAACCACAUGCUCCACCGCUUGUGCAGGCCCCCGUCAAUUCCUUUGAGUUUUAACCUUGCGGCCGUACUCCCCAGGCGGAUAACUUAAUGCGUUAGCUGCGCCGCCGAAGCUCUAAGAGCCCCGACAGCUAGUUAUCAUCGUUUACGGCAUGGACUAC